rnacentral:rRNA from 1 species
GAUGAACGCUGGCGGCGUGCCUAAUACAUGCAAGUCGAGCGAACAGACGAGGAGCUUGCUCCUCUGACGUUAGCGGCGGACGGGUGAGUAACACGUGGAUAACCUACCUAUAAGACUGGGAUAACUUCGGGAAACCGGAGCUAAUACCGGAUAACAUGUUGAACCGCAUGGUUCAAUAGUGAAAGACGGUUUUGCUGUCACUUAUAGAUGGAUCCGCGUCGCAUUAGCUAGUUGGUAAGGUAACGGCUUACCAAGGCAACGAUGCGUAGCCGACCUGAGAGGGUGAUCGGCCACACUGGAACUGAGACACGGUCCAGACUCCUACGGGAGGCAGCAGUAGGGAAUCUUCCGCAAUGGGCGAAAGCCUGACGGAGCAACGCCGCGUGAGUGAUGAAGGUCUUCGGAUCGUAAAACUCUGUUAUUAGGGAAGAACAAAUGUGUAAGUAACUAUGCACGUCUUGACGGUACCUAAUCAGAAAGCCACGGCUAACUACGUG